GUAGGGUGCGAGCGUUGUCCGGAAUUAUUGGGCGUAAAGGGCUCGUAGGCGGUUUGUCGCGUCGGGAGUGAAAACCUCGGGCUUAACUCGGGGCUUGCUUUCGAUACGGGCAGACUAGAGGUAUGCAGGGGAGAACGGAAUUCCUGGUGUAGCGGUGAAAUGCGCAGAUAUCAGGAGGAACACCGGUGGCGAAGGCGGUUCUCUGGGCAUGAUCUGACGCUGAGGAGCGAAAGUGUGGGGAGCGAACAGGAUUAGAUACCCUGGUAGUCCACACCGUAAACGUUGGGCGCUAGGUGUGGGAUCCAUUCCACGGGUUCCGUGCCGCAGCUAACGCAUUAAGCGCCCCGCCUGGGGAGUACGGCCGCAAGGCUAAA
rnacentral:rRNA from 1 species